GAUGAACGCUGGCGGCGUGCCUAAUACAUGCAAGUCGAGCGAAGCGGGGACGGGUGAGUAACACGUGGAUAACCUCCUAUAAGACUGGGAUAAAUUCGGGAAACCGGGGCUAAAACGGAUAUUUAUUGAUAGAUCCGUGCUGCAUUAGCUAGUUGGUAAGGUAACGGCUUACCAAGGCCACGAUGCAUAGCCGACCUGAGAGGGUGAUCGGCCACACUGGAACUGAGACACGGUCCAGACUCCUACGGGAGGCAGCAGUGGGGAAUCUUCCGCAAUGGGCGAAAGCCUGACGGAGCAACGCCGCGUGGAUGAUGAAGGUCUUCGGAUCGUAAAACUCUGUUAUUAGGGAAGCGGUACCUAAUCAAAAAGCCACGGCUAACUACGUGCCAGCAGCCGCGGUAAUUC
rnacentral:rRNA from 1 species